UGGGGAAUUUUGCACAAUGGAGGAAACUCUGAUGCAGCGACGCCACGUGAGUGAUGAAGAUCUUCGGAUUGUAAAACUCUGUCCUUAGUGAAGAUAAUGACAGUAACUAAGAAGCAAGCCCUGGCUAAAUACGUGCCAGCAGCCGCGGUAAUACGUAUGGGGCAAGCGUUGUCCGGAAUUAUUGGGCGUAAAGGGUACGUAGGCGGUUUAAUAAGUCCUAAUUAAAAGGCUAUGGCUCAACCAUAGUAUGGUUAGGAAACUGUUGAACUUGAGUAGAUGAGGGGAAAGUGGAAUUCCAUGUGUAGCGGUGAAAUGCGUAGAUAUAUGGAGGAACACCAAUGGCGAAGGCAACUUUCUGGAAUCAAACUGACGCUGAGGUACGAAGGCGUGGGGAGCAAACAGG
rnacentral:rRNA from 1 species